CCGCGGUCCACGGUUCACAAUUUCCGGGCCCCGCCGGAUCUGUUUUUUCUUCGCUCGUCGCAACGUCCGGGCAAAAAAAAGAAACGAAAAAACGAACGAACGAUCAACGGUCGUCUCCGUUUUCCAGAGGGAGAGACGUGUGCCACCUGAGCAGCCGAGGGAAGGCCUGUCAAUCGACGGUGAGCGGAAGUUGGCAAGAAAAGUGUCGGCCGCUUUUCCGGUAGCGUCGUUUUCCCGCCACUUUCGUCAGAGGUAAGAUGGCCGCGGUUGUGACACCAUCCUUGCUGUGGAACUGGGCGUUCGAAUCACCGGCGUAGUGAGCCAGUACGUGCAUCGUGAACAGCAAUUGUCAUCGACGAGAACAAGACGAUUAUCGAGUAUCUAGUGCAGGCGAAUGGUGGCAAGGUACCAGUUAUCAUGAGACAAACCAGCCUCGAUACGUGGACCGUUGUUUCGGUGGUGGUUGUCGUUUCGGCGGAAAGCCGGUAGGAUAUUUGAAGAAACGUCUGUGAGUUAUCCUGCGCUUCCUGGUACUCGGGGAAACGCGAUCAUGGAAGAACGUGCCGCGAGCGUGUGUACCGUGCCUGAUCGUACCGCGCGAGCGUCCAUCUAACCUACAAACGCGAGAGUGACAGUCGGUGUUGACGCGUUGUGGACAAGUGCGAUGACAGUGGGGAGCGGAGUCCAGCUGUCGACGGAGCCGAUCACCACGACGGAAACGUCUUGAGGAAGCUUGGAGCGCAAGACAGCGUAUGAUUAACCAGUAAAUAAAAGUGCGGUUUUUUUCUCCCCACCCCUCCUCCCAAGUGCAAUAUUAUAACGAAUAUCGCGAUCGACCAAUAUUAGUGCAAUAAUUUGAUUACGAGACUUUUCGUAAGGGAAAUGCAUACAUGUACGUGUGUAUAUAUGUGAAAGAGAGAGAGAGAGAGAGAGAAAAAGAAAGAGAGACACAUAAGUAGGAUACAGAAUAAAUCUAGUCAUCGACCGAGGAACGAUACUAUUUUUAAUGUAAACGGUUAUCGCUGGUAAGAGUCUCGAUCGAAGGCCGCGAGCCAAUCACGGACCACGCAGGAGAGAGAGAGACAGGUAGACAGCGAAAACAUUAGACCAGUGCGCGGUUCACCCUUGACGCCGUUUGUAACCGACACAGCGUGUUUAUAUCGUGCGCGAAGUUAUCCAUAGUUUCAGUUCGGUUGUUCACGUCGUAACACGCACGCCAUACCGCCAUCUCGAAUUAUAUAUACGGGAUUACAUACGCUCCGAUCGUCGGUUAUAUAUUUUCCCGUAAAAAGGUGCGAAACGAGAAGCGAGAUGCGUGAAAAAGGGACGCGGGACUGCCCAUCGAAUCCCAGUGAAUCUUCUCGUAAUUAGAAGUGUCUCGGAAACGAUAUCGUGCUUCUAGAGGAGCAGGACAAGUACAAGGAACGCAGUGCUUAACGAAAUAGCAGAAACAAACGAAAGAGGAGAGGGUGAGGUGUGUUUGUCCUUGUUUCUCGUUUGGACGAAAAGGUGGAGCAAUAGAUAUUAGAUAUCUCAACGACGACGAGAAUUCGCGUGGUUGUGUCGGACCCGAUCUGGAAGCUCUGGCGAAGUAAAAUCGGUACCGGAAGUGCGACCGAUUGCUCGCAGUGACGUAAGAAGGAACCGUGGCGCCUCGGGACUAUUCUACGGUGCCAAGCGAAUAUUUCGGGUCGGGUGGAAUCGAGUCCUCGGACGCGUAUACGCAAUUAGGUGACUGUAUUCGGUGUUCUAGUGAAAAAUGUAUCCGUGGUACCGGGACAGCGUCGCGGCGGCGGCGGCAGCCGGCCUCGGAGGACCCGUCGGAGUUGUGGGUUCCGGAUUCUGCUCUACCGGGCCGGGCCAAGGCGGCACCACUAUCAAGACCGAGACCGGAUAUUCGGAUUGCAUGCUGGCCCUCGACUAUGUCCAGAGUAAGGUAAAGCCUCUCUCG